CCGAGGCUAGCUCAGUGUAGAGCGCCUGUCAUGGGGACAGGAGGCGUGGUUCAACUCCACACCUCGGACCA
rnacentral:tRNA from 1 species